AACCGCCGUAUACCGAACGGUACGUACGGUGGUGUGAGAGGUCGGUAGGUGAAAUAAUCACCUACCUCCUACUCGAU
rnacentral:misc_RNA from 1 species